UAAUGUUACUUUAUUCCCUUAGUGAGUAUAGUAUUUCCGCUCUAUCAACAGAACCAUAAUCUGAAAGGAGGCAGCUGAGAAUGUCUGUGGAAGAGAAGUUGAGUUACUCUGGGAGAUGCUCAUAAAUGCUCUAAUUCAACAGGAUGGACACACAAGCCCAGAUAGGAAGACAUCUCUGCAUUUAUAGACAGAAACGAUGGAAAGUAACAUUACCUGGAUUCUCCAUUCACAUGCAAACAUAGAAUCUCACUUUCACACUGAAUAAUGGCCAAAAGGUGAGUUUUAGCUAAGGAUGGAAAAGAUGUGUUUUAUGCAUAUAAAGCAACACAGGUGAGAAUAAAAGAAAGUCAGUGUGGAUGUUUGGAGCCAGACCAAUGUUAACAGGUAAAACUGGUCUAUCAAUGACAAUCAAUUGUUCAAUAGUAUUUGUAUAGAAACGGAGAAUGUGUACCACUGUUCUGCAAGGAGGGAGAAGAAAGGAAUGCUGAUGGUGAAUUUGCCCUCUCUUUGUUUACCUCAACCUCUCCAUGGAUUAGUUUGUGUUUUGUGGCUGAAAGUUAGAUGAAAGAAAAAAAUUUAAGAGCGAACAGAAGCAAAGUAACAAAGGAAUCUGCACUCACAUAAAACUCAGUGGCUAAAGUACAAAUUUUCUCCUGCCUUUUAGAACAUGAGACGGCCGACUAGAAAGCACUGUGCCCGGGGACGCUCAAGGUCACGGAACUGUUUUUCUGUUCAGGGAGCUUUUUCAACCCGAUGCAGCAUACAUUAUGCCUGCUAGCUUGCCUCCACGGAAGAGAAAGUCAUGGCUCGGGAGAGGCUUGUUGACAUUGUCCUGCAUGGGGAAUCACAGGCUUGGCUUUAGAGCUGAAGGAUGUAUUAAGGUCUCUACGGAUGUCCUCAUCAGGAGGAGCAGGGGGAUGAUUUGUAAUCCAAAGCCAUUCAUUCUACCUUUAUCCCCAGUGUCAGGCUUUUCUGGCUUCAACCGGGACAGUGAUUCCCACUUGAUUGGACAUUUUUCUGUACCCACAGUUCCAGAUCUUAAUUUUAACCCGAACUAGAAUCCUGUCAUACAUCCUGAUUUGCAUCAUUUUCUGUCCUAAUAUCUAUACUGUGAACAUUUCCAUUUCAGAAUAUACUGAGCUGCUUUGUUCUUAUUAUGCUGCAUGACUGUAUCAUAAUUUAUUUGUCCAAUCUCCUACUGAUAAACUAAAUUAUUUGUAAA
rnacentral:lncRNA from 1 species